rnacentral:tRNA from 1 species
GGGUAGGUGACUUAGUGGUAGAGCGCUUGCCUUGCAUGCAGGAAGCCCUGGGUUUGAUUCCCCAGUUCCA